UGGGAAUUUGGACAAUGGGCGAAAGCCUGAUCCAGCAAUGCCGCGUGUGUGAAGAAGGCCUUCGGGUUGUAAAGCACUUUUGUCCGGAAAGAAAUCCUUGGCUCUAAUACAGUCGGGGGAUGACGGUACCGGAAGAAUAAGCACCGGCUAACUACGUGCCAGCAGCCGCGGUAAUACGUAGGGUGCAAGCGUUAAUCGGAAUUACUGGGCGUAAAGCGUGCGCAGGCGGUUUGCUAAGACCGAUGUGAAAUCCCCGGGCUCAACCUGGGAACUGCAUUGGUGACUGGCAGGCUAGAGUAUGGCAGAGGGGGGUAGAAUUCCACGUGUAGCAGUGAAAUGCGUAGAGAUGUGGAGGAAUACCGAUGGCGAAGGCAGCCCCCUGGGCAAUACUGACGCUCAUGCACGAAAGCGUGGGGAGCAAACAGGAUUAGAUACCCUGGUAGUCCACGCCCUAAANGAUGUCAACUAGUUGUUGGGGAUUC
rnacentral:rRNA from 1 species